UAAAAAUAAUAUUAUUAAUAUACUUUAUAUAUAAAAAAUAUAAAUCUUGGUUUCGAAAAAAAUAAAAUCCAUUAAAAUAGUAUUGAUUUUACUAUUUGAAAAAUUGUGUAAGACAAAAACUUUUAAAUUGUAUGCUUUCUCUAUAUCUUACAAAAUUUCCAAAUAUUAACAAAAAGUUAAAAAAAAACGCUAUAGUGCAAAAAGUUUACUGGAAAAAGUACCUGAAUAUUCAAAUAAAAGAAAUGGCUACUAAAUCGCCAGAAAUAAACUGAAAAAUCCACAACAACAAAAUCAAACAGCAACAUUGGCAAAAAUAUAAAAACAAAAGGAAUCUAAUUUUCUCCUAUUUGAAGGCAGUCACACAUUUUGGCGCUUCAAACGCGAUUGACGUUAUAUGUUGAUCGAAUUCACUUUUCGCACCAAAGUGUGAAGUAAUACGCUAUGAUAUACUUAACUAUGACGAUGCUACGCAAAUAAGUCUCAGUUUGGAUACUCGAUGGUUAAAUGCGCGCGCAAAACGUGCGGAAGGUACAACAAUAGCACCAACAGCAGCAGCAGUAGCAGAGCAAAGAAUCGUGGAACAAAAGUGAUGACACCCCACCGAGGCGGCGCCUAAAAGCUGGGAUUUUCAACGAUGUCAAAAAAUAUGAAAACCAAAAUGUUGAAGGCAAACAAGCGCGGAUGAAAUAAUAGCUGAAACGCGUAUUUACAAAUUCAAAACAGUGCACGUAAUAAAAACCGUUAUUUUAUGGGUUUAUAAAGUGGGCCGAGGCUUAGCGGAACGUGAAGAGGAAAAUCGCAAAGCUGAAAAAUAAAAAUAAAAAACUGUUGGUGCUCAAAAAUCCAGUGAAACACAAGCAAAUUGUUAUUGUUGUUGCACUUGUUUUUGGUUAUUUGGUUAUUUUUUUCGCGGUGACUAGAUGGAAACCAGAUGCGACGCAGCGUACGCAGAAUUUUGAAAGAACGUACGCGUAGGAGAAAUUGACAAACGGAAGCACUUGAGUGCCGAAAUUGUGUGGAAAAGAAACCAAAGCCGCCGCGGCAAACAUCACUUUGUGAAUGGCGUGCGGAUAAACAAAGCGCAGAUAAAUAAAUAAAGGCAUUAUAUAAAUGCAAAAUUUAAGCGGCGUGGCAAGGGUGUGGCGGUGAACCAAAAUAAAUAGAGGCUAUUAUUCCAAUUAAAAAGUGGAAAAUAAAGUGAGGUGAAAAAGAAGUGAAACUAAAUUGUUUUGAGAAGAAAAUUGUUGCUGAAAAAAUAAACUGAAAUAUAAAUGCAUGUUGUAUAUGUAUGUGUGUACCUACAUAUAUGUAUACUAUAUAGGAGAAGUGUUAACAAAAUUUUAAACAACAAAAUUGUGCAAAAUAAAUGUAAAACAAGUUAAAAAACCGUGUGGAAUAAAAUUAAAAUAAAGAAUAUAACCUAAAGACUUCAAAAUAAAUGAAACAAAACGUUGCAACCAAAAGUCUGUGCAAAAAUUAAUGAAAAAGCACUAAAAGAGGAAUAUAACUUGAAAAGCCGUGCAAAAAAUAACAGAAAAAUACUCAAAGAGAAACAUAACCUAAAAAAUCUGUUCAAAAAUUACAGAAGAAUACUAGAAGAUGAACAUAACCUAAAAACUACAAUAAAUAAAAUAUAGAAUUUUUUUUCAAAAUAAUUACAACAAAAUGUUACAGCAAAACACCUGUUCAAAACAAAUACUGAAACACUAAAAGACAAACAUAACCUAAAAUAAUAAUUAAAAAAAAUUGUUUAUAACAAAAAUUGAAUGACGCCAAAAAAUUAAAAU